rnacentral:lncRNA from 1 species
AGCAAACGCAUAUGGGACAAGACUGGACUACUACUUAUCCAGAGUUUGUCCGGGAUAAGUAAAAACAAACGGCGACACGAUAUAUCCAGGGACAAGUCGUCCGACAUUAUAUCCGGGGGCCAAAUGUCCAGAGACGAUUAAUUCGGAGACUCCUACAGUCCGGCAAACAAACGAGGCCAUGUAUACUUUAUGGGGUCUAACUUUCCGUCUUACAUUAAAGAAGCUUUCUACUUGAUAAUUUUCUAAGAGUGAAUUACACUGACCUUUCUUGAGAUUUGCCUUUAAUAUACAUAGCAUCCCUGAUGUUUAACAAAAUUACAGUGACCUCUCCUGAGGUUUGAAAUAUUAUCCUGACACUCCCUGACACCACUUUUCUCCCUUUUUAUCCUUAUAAAAUUACCAAAAUUUGCCCCCCACUCUCUCUCUAUCUUUUUGCAACCUUUUAUUUUCUUGUCUUAAUUUUUUAUUAUAAAUUUUUUAAUACCCUUUGAUUCAUAUUUUUUAACAAAAAUAAAUUCUCUUUUUGUUUCUGUUUUUAUUUUUUCUUUUGGGACCAUUUUAUUUUUAUUUUUAUUUUAUAUUUUUUUAUUAUUAUUAUUUUAUACCCUUUGAUUAAUUUUUUUACAAAAAAAAAUUCUUUUUUGUUAUUGUUUAUAUUUUUUUGUACUCUUGCAUUUUUGCUUUAUUUUUUUUUAUUUUUUCUUUAAUACCCUUUAAUAGUUUUUUUAACAAAAUAUGAAGCACCUUUUUGUUACUUUUUUUUGUACACUUAAUUUUUUAUUUAUUAGUAUAUUUUUUUAAUACCCUGUUUAUUUAUUUUUUAUUUUUAUUUUUAUUUUUUCGUUUAAUAACCUUUUAUUUUUUAUUUUUAUUUUUUUUAUUAUUUUAUUUAUCCUUAUUUUUUUAAUACCAUUUGAUUUUUUUUCUCCUUUUAAUUUUGUCUUUGAUUUAUUUUUUAAAAUUUUUAAAAAUAAGUCUCAAAAUGGAUUAAAAAAAAAUCAAAGAGUAGUAAACAAAAAAUAAAAAUAAAAAAUAAAAAAAUGGAAUCAAGGGUAUUAAAUAAUAAUAAUAAAAAAGGUACAAAAAGAAUAAAAAAAAAAAGAAAAAGUAAUAAAAAGUUGAGUAUUUUUUAUUAAAAAAUAAUCCAAAGGGAUUAAAGAAAAAAAUGAUAAAUAAAAGUAAAAAUAAAAAAAAAAGAAGAGUUAAAAAAUAAUCAGAAGAAGAGAAUCACUUUUUGUUAAAAAAAUUCAGCAAAUGGUAUUAAAAAUAAUAAUAAUAAUAUUAUAAAUCACAAAUAAAAUAAAAGGGUACAAAAGAAAAAAUAAAAAUUAAGUAACCAAUUUUAUUUAAAGGAAUUUAUUUUUUGGAUCAUUUAUAAAUAUGAAUCAAAGGUAUUAAAAAAAUUAUAAUAAAACCAGUAAAAAUAAAAGGUUGCCCCCCGGAUGCUAAAAAGAGAGAGAUGACCCCCCCCCCCCCCCCUUUCUUUCUUCUUUUUUUUGUUUUUUUUUUUUUUUUUCCCCUCCCCCCCCCCCCUCCCCUGAUUCGUCUCUCUUUGGCGGUCCUUUUUUUUGAGCCGGACGAUUGAGGACGAGAGGUGUCCGCCUGUGGAGGAUGCAGGAGGAGAGGGGGGUAUUUGAUAAUGUUAUUAAAGAUAAAAAGACCCCCUCAAUUUCCAAGAAAAGUGGAUUCCCCUCCGCCCCUUUCUUUUUUUAGCUGUGGGCUGUGAGGAUAAUUUUUAAACCUCAGAAGAGGUAUUGUAAUAUUUCAAACAUCACGGAUACUUUAUGUAUUAAAGACAAACUUCAGAGGAGGUCAAUGUAAUUCACCCAUUUUCUAAAGAUGGGACCCCAAGUUGACAGUUGUCCCCUUUCUCUCCUUUCCAAAAGGAAAUUUAUCCUCCCAACCUCCCUGACACACACAAUCCAAGAUUUGACUAAUAUUUUUUUUUUAUUUUUCACUUUUGCCCCCAAUUAUUCUUUAAAACUACCAUUUUGCCAUUCAAAUAUUGAUUCUUCUCACCCUUUAUUACCCCUUUUUAUUCUUUUUUAUUUUUAUUUUGUACUUUCUUUAACCACUUUUAUUGUUUUAUCUUUACUUUUUAUUUUUUUUUUCUUUCUUUUAAUACCCUUUUAUUCUUUGUCUCCCAAAAUUUUCAAAUAAAAAUAAAUAAAAGAUUACAAAUAUAUAAUAAAAAAAAAUAUUUAUCCAAAAAAAAAAAGUAAAACUGAUAAAAAAAGAAAUAAAUUUGAUAAAAAAUUAAAAAAAUAAGAAAAAAUAAUGAAAACAAAACAAAACAAAACAACUGAAAAAAAAUUAAUAGUAAAAAAAGAAACAAAAUAAAAAAAUUUGAAAAAAAAUACAAACAUAGAAAAUAAAUAAAUUUAAAAGAAAACUAGAGAGAGAGAGAGGGGGGGCAUUUUGGGACUUUCCGAAGGAGACACGGGUUGGGGUGGUGUAGGGGUUAGGUGGGAGGAUCACCUCCCUUCCAAAAGCUCCAAAUACAAAUUAUUUUCCUUUGUCAGGAAGAAUUAUAAAAAGACUUGGUGUUUACUAUUCACAGUCCUCCAUUUUUAUGCUCAUUGAAGACUCCUCUCUCAAGGUAGCGUAAUAAUUGGAUGAAGUCUGAACAAAAGGACUUUUUUUUUUCUUUUUUAAAUCCAAGUGCUAGCAUAGAAAAUUAUUGCCCGUAGCAAGUUAGUCUCUAUGCGAGUAUAUAUGAUCAUAUGUUCAAACAUAUAGAGCCUCCGAGUACAGUCGUACCCUCCCCUGAAUGAUUCUCUCUAUUGAGUAACUUCUCUGCUUUUCCUCUCCUCCUCGCAGGGACUCAUCUCAAAUGUACUGUUUGGAGGAGCUUGGGUGAGACCUUCUGGCACAACCUGACCUGCCUGAACAGCUGCAGGGAGCCCUCCAUGAUUAUCUUUAGGGGCUCGUUUGGCUGGCGAAUAGAGAUUGAGAAUCAGUUUUUAGAGGAGGAUAAUUUUUAACUUGUUCAAUAAUUUUUAGAAUGAGUGACAAGGAUGGGGGAAGGAAUUGGAUGGGAUAAGGAAGAAAAUUAUAGAAAGAGAAACAAAGUAUAAAAUAUUAAGAUAUUUAAAAAUAUAUAUUUUAAUUAGUAAUUUAGAGGGAAAAUCUAAAAAAAGUGUAAAAAUUAAACUUGAAAUUAAAGACAACAAACUAAAGCUUUCGAAGUCAAUAUUGGCUCCAUGCCGGAAAUGUAUUCUCUAAAUCGACUUUGGUUUCAUGUCAGCCAUGUUAGGGGUACGUGUGGGUUAUUACUGAUAACUUUUGAGUUUAAUUUUUUUGGGUCAUGUGAUUAGAUUAUUUAAAUUAUUAGGUCAAAAAACUACUUAGGUCGUUAUUAAUGAUCACUUAUUAGCAGUAACUUUACUUUAAUUUUUUUUAAAAAUUAUAUCAAAGUAUUUGCUAUAGCUUUUAUUUAUAAAUCAAAAAUAAUUAUAAAAAAAAUAUUUUUAACAAGCUCUAUUUUAGACUUCGUUUGGAAUCAAUAUUUUUUUGCUUUUCAGCUGGCUUUUUUUAAGUUUAUAAGCAAGAAAAUCAGUCAGAAUUGAUUUUUUGGCGUUUUUGUUUUUGUUUUUUUGCUUUUUUUUAGUUAAAGUAAAUCAGAAAAGCAAAAAAGUCAAAAUAUAGUGACUUUUUUUGGUAGAAAACUUAAAAAGAAUUUGACUUUUAAAAAUUACAAAGAAGCAUUAAUGUUUCAACUUUAUUUUAAAAAUAAUAAAAUUUAAGUUUUCAUCAUCGGUUUCAACAAAUACUUUUCCGUUUACCUAUAAAAUAGAGCUUUCUUGUAACCACUAAAGGACACCUAAGGUUCUAAGUCAAUAGUCCAAUUCCAACCCAUUAUUUGCUGGCUCUUGGUAAUCAGCGAAUCCCAAUCAAGGUCAUUCCACAUCCUACGACGCCCAAGUUGUUCAUCACAGUCGCGAUAUCUCCUUUUGGAUCAUGGUUGCGGCGCAUGGAUGACAUGAUUUUUCAUGUUCUCCCAUAUAAUUUGUAUUAUACACCAUUGCAAACUACUUAAAUUAAUUGGAAUUUUGUAAGGAGCCAAAUUCAUUUGGACCAGACAUUGGGCCGAGCAUUCUAUUUGGGCCUAAGCCCAAAGUUGGGCCAGGACCUGUGCAAAUAGAGAUGUACUCACCCGACAGGACCUGGACCGGAUGAUUGAUCUGUUUAAAUCAUGUAUUUUGAUAUGAGAAGACUUUAAUACAAAAUCGGGCCGAGGUAGAUUGAUAGAGGACCAAACUUGACACGUGGCGAGAAGCUUAAUCGAUGCCUGCAUAAGAAAUGCGGAGAAAUAACUAGAUGAAUGUUUCAUAAAUGAAAGAGUUGAAGUUUUAUAUGAGUUUCCACCCCAACUAAAUUGAAAAAAUGCCUAUAAACUUGCAUGGGAUAAAGAAAGAGAAAUAUGGAUUUGUGGUGAAAGGUGUGACGAACCAGAUUAGAUGAUUUAACAGUCAAAGUGACCUCAAUUCUAAAUAGGUAUUCGAAGAGUUUGAGUAUACAUUUUAACCUACUUGAAAAACUCUAUCACUUUGAGCUCUCAAUCACGUUAACCUCCCUUCUUCAUAUCACUAAUUUAGGCAUGUCAUUCAGAAACCUGGUUUCGCCCUCCUAAUUUCUACCUGAGCCGUCCAUUAUCGAAAAAUUGAGAGUCAAGCUUCUUUCUUCUGGAUGUUUUUCUGGGUUAAAUGAAUAGUGAACACCUAUAGCGACAAGUAGGGGGCCUAUGGAAAUCUCUCUCUUCCUCCAUCUUGAGAAACACUACAUCCUUGCAAUUUAAAAAAAUAAAAUAAAUAUAAAAAUAAAUUAUUAAAUUCACUUAAAUGUUAUUUUAAAUUUUAUGAUUUUUUUUAAUCAAAAUUCUGACACACCGUAACUGAAAGUCCUAAAAAGAUUUAACCAUUGAUUUGGUAGUCAAGAAAAUCUAAUGGUUGACUACGAAAUGAACGGUUGGGAUGAUUUAGAAGAGGAGACUCUCUCUCUCUCCAGAUACAGAGUCAUGAGCCUCCGUUUGGUAAUGCUUAAAAGCCAAACUUUUUUUUAAACUUACUAUUAAAAAAGUCAAGAUUUUUAUGUUUUUUUAUUUUUCUUGACUUUACUUUAGAUAAAAAUAAAUAAAUAAGCAAAAACAGAAAAAUAAAAAAGCUAACUCUGAUUGGAUUUUUUUCUUAUUUUAAGCAAAAAAACCUAGCCGACAAGCUCAAAUAAAUUGGUUUCAAAAUGUGCCUCAAUGAGACCAAUCGAACUUCUCUCUCGCACAGGCCCUCGAACCCUCUCCAUCUGGUAUUUUUUUUUUCAAAAUUAAUUUAAAAUAAUUUUCGUUAAAUUACUUUGAUUAAUUUUGUUGAUGUUCUGUUGGUGUUCUGUGUGCGUAUGAAAGUUUGGAAUUUUGGAAAUGUUUGGCAAAUGCUAAGGGUUUCGGCUCCAGCAAACUGGAGAUCAUCUUAGUGUUUUAAGCUUAAUAUUAUAGAAGGGCUUCUGAAAUUAGCAUUUUAGAAGGAUUAUUGGGUUCGGCAAAAAUUAAAUAGUUUGUUUUUUAGCCAAACGUGGUUAUCGAAGUGGCAUUUUGAUUUACAUUUUAGUGACAGUUGUAGAAAUAAACAUACAUUUUUCAAAUUAUAAAUUGGAUGAUUUUGUUGAUGUUCUUGUUGUGUUGUGUGUGUAUGAGUUUGGGGAGUUUGAUUUUGCAUUCCCGUGAAAUUUAAAUGAUGAUUUUGUUGAUUUUCUUGUUGGUUAUGUGUUAGUAUGAAGUUUAGGGAGUUUAUUUUUGCAUACCUGUGAAUUACACAUAUAUUUUAUAAAUUAGAAAUUGAUGAUUUUGUUGAUGUUUUUCGAUGUGUUUAUGUUUAAUAUGUGUUUGUUUUGUCAUACUUGAAUUUUGGGGUUUUCGCUCCACACCACUAGAGAUGCUCGUAGGGUUUAGAUGAAAUAAAGUUAGGAGGGUUAGGUAGGGUUUUCAAAGAUUAGAUAGAUAAGAGUUUAGCUAAACUUGUUUAUCUAAGUGGCACCUUACUUAGGCAUUUUAGUGUUAGUUUUCUUUAAGUUCAGAGGAGGAUUGGCUUUAUCUUUUGUUCCUAAAUGUCCAUAAAAUUAGUUUUGAGGGUAUACAAAAUUCUGUAAGGGCAACCUCAAUUGGGUCUCAUGAAAUGUACGGGACUGUCACAUCUUUUGUCUUAGUUACCAAGUACAUUGCACUUUGAUUCGAGAGAUCUGAAUUGAGAACUGGUCUGUUUUGUGGGUUUUCUUUGUUUAUUGUGCUGGGGUGACUUCUUGGGCUAGAUUUCUUUCAUUCUCUUGGUGUCCUUUUGGUUGGUUUUUUGUUUUGUUUGUCUUGGGUAUGCCUCAGUUUUGUUUGUUUGCCUUUUGGCUCUUCUUGGAAGAAAACUUUUUACUCCAAAAAAUUUAUAUGUAAACAAUUUUACAAUUGCCAUUUUUUUUUUAUUUCUAGUUAACAUGUGAAUUGUUUGCAAACCAGUGGUCAAAUGCAUUAUUUAUUGUAAUUAGGCGUAACAUUUCUUGGGCACGAGGCUCAAGUUGCACAAUUUGCAUCCAAGGCAUGUCAAGUCUCAUUUUGUGGCGAAGCAUGGAACCACAUACAACAAGCAUUGUUGAGCAGAACAAGCAGUACAUCAGGCCACCACUGCGGAGGAAUGUAAUCUGUUGGCUAGGCAUUGUUUCUGCUCCACUCGUCUCACUUGGUUAUUUCUCCUCCCUUUUGUUUAAUGUGGCACGUGGGCUUUUUAGUGUUGGACUUAGUUUUCAAACCGUUUGGUUAUACUUGUUAAUUAGACAAGUUUGUACGUUUUCUAAAAGCCUAUGAUAUGAAAUUUUUGUCGAAGACAAGUUAUGGUGCCUUGUUUUUCUAUGCUAAUAUUUUUUGAUAUGAUAUUCGUGGGUGCCUAAGUAUAUUGAAUAGGUUUGUUACACAAUCGUUGGUUAUGCCUUUGCUUUUAAUUAUUAACGAUAAUAUCUAAAUCAUAGCUUCUGAUAAAUAAUGUUGGGUUACAUUUUUCAAAAUUGUUUUUUUCAUUAGAGCAUGCCUAUGUGAUACUUUAUUAUCCAUUGUAAGUCCCUUAUAUCCUUGUAGGUAACUUUGUUAUUUUUUAUAAAUAGGGUAAUCUAGUUCCCUAAUUAAUCACUUGGAGGGAUUUAAUGUCGAGUGGUACAUAAGAAGAAUUUGCAAUAAGAUUAGAACUGAUUAUAUGAACUAGUUUUUGUUAAUUUAUGAACCUUGCCAUAUCAUUUAUUCUUGACAAUUAAUCCAGCAUUGAGUAGAUCAUUCUCUAUAUUGCCAUUAACUUCUAGAAAUAACAACACCUACAAGAGUUUUUGAAUUGAUUAUCGAAGUUUUGGCCAAAAAAUAUAGGCAUUGGUCUCCUAACACUCCCAAUUUUCGUCUUCGUUUUGAAGUUCUCUUGAAAUACACAGGAAAGAAGGAAAAAAGUUACACUGCAGUUUCAAAUCACGAGUUGUACAUACCGAAAUUUUACAGAUAUCUAAUUAAAGUAUAUUCGAUAAUAUACAAAAGACACAUAAUACCAAAUAUGUAAAAUAUAUGUUUAUUCAUGUGAAAUUAAUGUAUGUUAGGUUUCUUUGUAUGAGUAAAUGUUUUUUUGAGAUUUUAUGAAAUAUGAAUUUUUGUACCCAAAAAGAUUUUGUAAAAAAAAUAAUAGAAAAAAUAAAACCAGAAACCUCUGGACCGUAUUAAGCAUAUAUGAUUGACUCAUGUGGAUCAAUAGGGACCACACCACACGCCAUUAAUAAUUUUGAGUGACCCAUGCCACAAGUACACAAGCCCAUGUCAUAAGAAUCAGUGUACAAUCAAAAACUUUAUGAUAUUUUAAAUUUCCUCAAGUAAAAUAUACAUGGUAUCUGUGAAAAUAAAAUAUGUUAUAUUUCAACUUAAUAUGAUUCUCUGAGAAUUUUUACGAAAAAGGAUUUUCUGUUAAAGAGUAGUAAGAAAAAAAUGAACCCAAUUUCAAGUAUAUAUGAAUAAAUUAUGUGGGACAAGAGGACCAAAAUAUAAGUGUGACUCACCCAUGUGUCACUCAUGUGAUCAAAUCAACCGAUACCACCAAAAGUCAACAAAAUUCUAAAAGUUGGCCAAAAUCUCACCACCCACCUAUCCAUCCCCCACCCACUCUACCCUCACCCCAUCAUGUCCGCCGCCUUUUCCUGGGACUUGACCAUAGUGAGAGAGAGAGAAAGGGGAAAAGAGAGAGAGAUAAAUAAGAAAAGGAGAAAGAAGAAUAGGAGAAAGACAGAGAAAAGGAGAGGAGGGAGUCGCGGAGAAGAAAGAAAGAGAGAAGAGGGAAUAAGAGAGGAAGAAACGAACGGAGAACCAAUCGAAGACACGGAGAAAAAUUUUUCUGACCGAAUCCGAGUUAGUUAUUCAACGAGGUAACCUCACGGAUCUUCUUUUUCUUUUCAUUUUUUCGAUUUAGGAUGAUCUAAAUACCCUACAGUUGAGUGUUAUCUCUAAUCCUAGUCAAAGUUAAAAUACGUUGAAUGUAGGACAAUGAGGAUGCAUUUUUUAAAGAUCAAUAAUCAAUAUGUUUACGCUAUGUUUUAUUUUGAAAAUCAUUCGUAUUUGGCCAUAAACUUUUUUCACAUACGAAAAUAUUUUUAGUCGAGUCAAGUGUUCAUUGGAUAGAUAUGUUCAAAUACCCUACAAAAUUGCUUCUAAUAGUAUUAUCCAAUGAUAAGACGGCCCAACAAACUUCCAAAGUUUCAGAUGAAAAAUUGAUCCUCGGUUUUUUUUCCCAGUUGAAACGGUACAAUUUUUUAUUUUUUAUCGGUUCAACCAUUUUAUUUAAGCUACUGAUCAUGACGAACAGGUUCAAAUUUUUAUUCUGUACCGGUUUAACCAUUUUAUUUAAACUACUGAUCAUGACGAACCGGUUUAACUUUUUAUUCUGUACCAGUUUAACCAUUUUAUUUAAGCUACUGAUCAUGACGAACCAAUUCAACUUUUAUCUUUAUCGGUUCAACCAUUUUCAUUUAGCGACUAAUCAUGACGAAUCAGUUCAACUUUUUAUUCUGUAUCGGUUCAAUAUUUUAAUUUAAUCGCCACUGGUCACGCCAAACUAGUUCAACUUUUUAUUCUGUACGGUUCAACUAUUUUUAUUUAAGCCACUGGUCACGCCAAAAUAGUUUCAACUUUUAUCGUACAGGUUCAACUAUUUUAUUUAAGCCACUGGGGGUUAGCCGAACCGGUUCAAACUUUUCUUUCUGUACGGUUCAAUUAUUUUGAUUUUGAAUCGGUUUAACUAAUUUUUUUCUGAACCGUGAGGAUUAACAGAAUCCAUUUCUUUUAAGUUGGAACCCUUGACCUACAAACUUAGCCUAGUUUUCUAACAAUUAACAUAAUAAAAUUUAAACACUUAAAUGUAAAGAGGAGAGGGAGAAUGAGGGAGCGUACGUUCUCGACUGUGUUUGCCGCCCCUUUCACACCACGUGGGGAAUUCGGAUAAAUGAAACGUAUAGGAAUCAUCAAUUAGCCUGAAGGACACGACGAACGAGUGUCGUGCAACACAAACCUAUUAAGUAAGUAACCCUACUCUCUAAGGUAGUGUCAGUAACCCUAAUUUCUAAAAUAGAGUAAAUUACUCUUUUAUGCUAUGAUAUAUGAUUGGACAUUAUGUUACAUAUGCACAAAUCAAAUCCAGGCGUAGAUGAGAAUCUUUCGAAAAUUUUUUUGUAUGUAUAUGCCUAUGUACCAUUAUGUUUCUACUUUCGGAAGGUACUCGGCCGGCAGCCCGACUCAAGGAAGUGGAAAAUCACGUUAUCAAAACCGACAAGAACGGGCGUCAAGUGCAUAAUGUUAUAUUUCAAAAAUUUGUUGACCAUACAAAUUGGUCAUUAUACAUAUGAUACCCGACAAAGGGAGGAGACAUGUUCAAACAUGAAUUUUGAUCAAGUUAUUUCGAAGACAAAUAUUUUCUAGUGUGUACUAUGUUAUUUUAUGUUAUACACAUGUCUA